AUAAAUAAGUUUUUUAUGAUUUAAAAAAUUUUUUAAAAAUUUAUUUUACAUAUAAAUUUUAGUGUUAAUUUUUAAAUAUUUUAAUAAUAUUUAAUUUAAUUUAAUUAGUAAUUUAUAUUAAAAAUUUAAGAAAUUAAUAUUUAGUAAUAUUAAAAUUAAUAACAAAUUUUGUGCCAGCAGUUGCGGUUAUACAAAAGUUAAAUUAAAUUUUAUUAGUAAUAAUAAAUAUAUUUUAAUUAUUUAAUUUAAAUAUUAAAUUAAUAAGUAAAAUUUUAAUUUAAUUAAAAUUUAUUUUAAUUUAUAUGAUUUAAUAAAUUUUAUUAUAAACUAGGAUUAGAUACCCUAUUAUUAAAAAAUUAAAUUAAAAAAUACUAAAAUAGUAAAUAAUUAUUUAUUGAAACUUGAAUAAUUUGGCGGUAUUUUAGUUCAUUUAGAGGAAUCUGUUUAUUAAUUGAUAAUCCACGAAUAAUUUUACUUAAUUUAUAAAUUUUGUAUAUCGUUGUUAAAAAAAUAUUUUUAAAUAAAUUUAAUAUUUUAAAAUUUAAAAUAAAAAUUAAAUCAGAUCAAGAUGCAGAUUAUAAUUAAGAAUAUAAUGGAUUACAAUAAAUUUAUUUAUAUGGAUAUUAAAUUGAAAAAUUUAAUUAAAAGUGGAUUUAAAUGUAAUUUUAUUUAAUUUAAUAAAAUGAUUAAAAAUUAAAAUAUGUACAUAUUGCCCGUCGCUUUCAUUAAUAAAUUGAAAUAAGUCGUAACAAAGUAGGAGUACUGGAAAGUGUUCCUAGAAAGAU
rnacentral:ncRNA from 1 species